ACCUCCGACAACGGCGUGGACAUCGGCGUCGGCAACGGCGAGUUCCGGCAGACUGGACAUGAAGCAUUCAAUUUCAGCCACGCAUCUACGCACAUCACAUGAAAAUAAUGCUUACACUCAGGCGAGGAGAGCUGGAAAAAAUGAUAAAAUUAAUGUGUGGAGAUGCGGCCGAAUCAUAUGCCAAACUAUCAGGUAAUUUAGGUGUAAAUUAUGAAUUUAAUUUUUUUUAAUUGUAAAAAUGAAAAAACUGCUAUACAGUUUGUUUUUUUAAUGAAUUGAAUUUUUUGUUUAGUAUUCUUUAUGAAUCACUUUUAUAUCCUUUAUAUAUAAUUAUAGUUAAAUAUGUAAUACAUUAUGUAUCUUUUUUGUAUCAAUUAAGUGUUCUUUAUGUAUCCAUUCAAUUAUAUAUGGUGAUGUUUUAUGAUAUUAGACUGUAUUAUUAUAUAAUUGUAAAAAUUUCAGGAAAUCUAUACAUAUUGGAGCAAAUAUAUUCUGAAUAGAUUUUGAAAAUAGAAAAGAAAAAAUAUGAUAAAUUCUUAUACGCAUUUGUUGCAUUAGAAGCUUGUAUUAAAGGCUGGAGUAUUGUAGGCCAAUUGUAGUUGUUGAUGGGAUAGGUUUAAAAUGUUCAUAUAGUGGUACAAUAUUGACUGUCCGCACCAUGGAUAUGGGAGGUAGUUUUUGAUUCCAUAUAUUUUUACGCUUAUACAUUAUAAUAAAAUGUGAUGUAAAUUAUGUUUCCAAAUUGUGUGAUAUUUUUAUUUUCAAAAAAUGGAUCAGGUCAUAUAUUUCAGUUGGCGUAUGCAAUAAUGUAUUUUGAAAAUGACGCUUCAUGGACCUGGUUCUUUGAACAGUUUAAGGAAGCGUAUGGAGUUAAAUAAAACAUGUGUUUUAUGUCAAAUCGAAAUGAGAGCACAUGAAAAGGGAGUGCUACUGUAUAUCCUGAAUCUGAACAUUAUGCCUGCAUAUGACACC
rnacentral:lncRNA from 1 species